rnacentral:rRNA from 1 species
UACGUAGGGUGCAAGCGUUUGUCCGGAAUUAUUGGGCGUAAAGAGCUCGUAGGCGGUCUGUCGCGUCUGCUGUGAAAACUCAGGGCUUAACCCUGAGCUUGCAGUGGGGUACGGGGCAGACUAGAGUGCGGUAGGGGGAGACUGGAAUUCCUGGUGUAGCGGUGAAAUGCGCAGAUAUCAGGGAGGAACACCGGUGGCGAAGGCGGGGUCUCUGGG